rnacentral:tRNA from 1 species
UCCGGAUUGGUGUAACGGCAGCACGCCUGACUCUGACUCAGGAGGUCGUGGUUCAAAUCCAUGAUCCUGAGCCA